rnacentral:rRNA from 1 species
CACCCCUCUCCGGAGGGAAGCGAGUGGCGAACGGCUGAGUAACACGUGGAGAACCUGCCCCCUCCCCCGGGAUAGCCGCCCGAAAGGACGGGUAAUACCGGAUACCCCCGGGCGCCGCAUGGCGCCCGGGCUAAAGCCCCGACGGGAGGGGGAUGGCUCCGCGGCCCAUCAGGUAGACGGCGGGGUGACGGCCCACCAAGCCGACGAUCAGUAGCCGACCUGAGAGGGUGACCGGCCACAUUGGGACUGAGACACGGCCCAGACUCCUACGGGAGGCAGCAUG